CUCAAUCUCGAUCUGUUUCAUCUCAGCCUCCAGCCCCAAGAGGAGCCGCCGCCUCCGAGGAGACGCCCUAGCCCCGAGAGGAGCCACCGCCGCCGCCGCCGCUGAGAGGAGCCGCCCCAGCGCCGAGAGAAGCCGCCGCCUCCGUCGGGGAAUGAGGUCGCCGCCGCCUCCAGGUCGCAGCCAUCACACACCGCCUCCUCCAGGUCGCCGCCGUCACACACUGCCUCAGGUCUGUUGAUCUCUCUCCUCCUCGCCACUCCUCUCUGCCAGCCCCGCACAACUCUGCCUCCACGGUGGGUAUUCACUCUAUGGCGUUCAAGAGAGGUGGUUGCAGCCGCCAUGCUGCCGAUCCGGUCCUUGCUGCUGGAUCCGGCCCUCUCCACCCCUCCUCCCGGUCCAAUCCAAUGGCAAGAGAUGAGGUUGGUGCGAUCGGUCAGAGGAUGGACAAGCUCUUGUCCUUCACAAUCCACUCCUAGACUGUUUCAUGGUGGUCGCGCUCCGUCCGGCGUUUGCCCUCCGUCAUCCACUCCUUCCUCCAUGGGGAUCGUGACUAGAGGACGUAAUUGAGCAGAUGGUUAUAUUGGAAUCGAAGAGGACCUAACGGGGAAUCUAUAGAGGUGCUCAUCGGGCUAGGGGAGGCUCUGCAGCGGCUGAAUCAGUCAGAGGCGAUCGUCGGGCAGAGGGGCAAAGUUGUGGUCGAUAGCGUCAUCUCAACGCUCUUCUGCUCGAAUGCUUCUGCAAAGAGACGCUGCGAGGCCUCGUGAUGCUUGUGGACAUGAAGGCGCAGCGAUUCUUCGGCGGUGGUCACAUGGACGAUCAACGAUGGCUACGGCUGUGCACUCGGGCGAGCUUGAGAUCGAGCGCUAGAGGAGAUGGAGAGAGCUCCAGAGCAACGGGAAAGUGAGAGGGAGUGCAGGGCAUCUCCCAGGCGAGCGGAUGGGGACGAGGACGUGGGGGACAGCGCUAAGCAGGAGAUGGCAGCAGGGUGAGCCCGCGCGACACGCCUCUGCCUACAGGCAGACGUUCAAGAAGACAUGGCCGUGGGCUGACUUGGCUUCAGGUGAUUGCUCACAACAUUGGCCUAGGGUGACAAGACGUUAGGUUAUUGCUCCCUACAUUAUAGUCUCUGGCCAAAGAGAAUCCAAGACAUGCUCUAAGGUUUGUGAUGGUAAGGGAAAUGUUUGCUCUUCAAAGUUCAAAAUGAGUAGCGUCCUAUCAUAAAUGAGCUUUAGCUCACACUUAAGUAGUCGUACGGUUAUUACUUUAUGUCUUGAUCAUAACAAAUUUUUCUACCGAAAGCAUAUGGUCUCAAAUUGAUAUUGCAAAUGGUACUACAAAAUCAUAUUCAUUUUCCCCAAGAUCACAGGUUGUAUCCUGUUUAGCAUGUAACAAGGCAAUGAUGAUUUCUAAUUUCAGUUAUCUAUGCUUGUAGCCAUUAGAAGGGGAGCCUUGGCGCAGUGGUAAAGCUGCUGCCUUGUGACCAUGAGGUCAUGGGUUCAAGUCCUGGAAACAGCCUCUUACAGAAAUGUAGGGAAAGGCUGCGUACUAUAGACCCAAAGUGGUCGGACCCUUCCCUGGACCCUGCGCAAGCGGGAGCUACAUGCACCAGGUUGCCCUUUAUGCUUGUAGCCAUUAGUUGUAUCAAAGCGGCAUUUGCAACUCUCCUUCUUGAUGGAAAUAAUUAGUGCCGCCCGCUGGAGCAUAUGGAAUUGUCAUCCCUCUUGCAAGUGUUUUGUUUCAAUCUGUAAAUGGAUGGAGAAGUACCAAUUAAUGGCUAUUGAAUAAACUACAUCAGUUGGAAAGACACUAACUAGAAAGAAAACAUGCAUAGGAAGAGGUUAAAGGAAGAGGACAAAGGAAGAGGUUAUUUUAUUUUCUUCUAAUUACGGAAUGGUGUACGGAAAAGUCAUCUUUCUAGUAUUUAUAUUUUGGAAUGUCCUCUUAUUUGUUAUUGUACUGUCCGUCCUAUCAAGUAGCUGCUCGUGAUCGACGUGCUUACUAUUACUAUUGUUGUCGUCGUGUCUAUCGCAGAUCACGGGUUGCAAGUUUGAGUACCUUCUCAACUUAUGCAACUGAAUCUAUCUACUCUAAGUCUGCAACCUAGAACUAACAUCUUAAUCUGGCCUACUACCUAUACAAUGAUCAUGAAUUUAAUGGUGCACAACCUAUCCAUAUUGUUUUAUUUCUUGGUGAUAAGAAGGAAAAAUGGAAAGGAAUAGGCGGUAUUUUCAAGUGAAACAACUAUGCGAGGGAGUGCUCAAACAAGGAUGGACACAGGGCAUGGUGAACUGCUUGCUUGAGAUCAGACCCAACAAUGUGUAUGCAUGGAGCAGUGACUCUUUAUUUUCCACUUCAUUUGCUUUUUGAUGGGUACACUUGGUAUGCUAAGCGAAAACUACUUUCAGAUGUCGAAGAAUCAUUCAGUACAUCAUCUCAAUAUGGAAUGUCAUCUUAAAAAAUGGAUCUAUAUCUUUUUUGGACGACAAUAUAUGGGAACUAGAACAAGCGCCUGAAGCGAGCAGCCGGGCUAGACUGGAGGUUCCUUGACACACUGCAACGCAUGUUCUACAGCAACAAUGCAGGGCACGAGGCACUGGUGAAGAUGUGCACAGACGAGCACAUGCAGCAGUGGAAGGUGCUCCAUGGCGGCCGCCGUGUCAUCGGGUACAUCGGAUGAUUCCCAGGGCUCCCAAGCUGCCGAGAAUUCAGGCAUGUACUCACUCAUACUGAAGUUGAACUCUAAAAGGCUGGUGGAGGACAUUGUGGAGAGUGUCGCCAAAUGUGGGUCUGUCCGGCUGUCACUACUGCUGGAUUGCGGUGCUGGUACACGGAGAUCAACGGGAAGGUGGCAAUCGCCGGGACCCACUUGAGCCUCAUGCAGGAGGACAUGUACGUACUAACAUAAACAAGAUGGCAGAUAAGUUAUCUGCUCUUCAGCUCAAAGUGACGGAGGUGAAUGUGUUGUUCACCAUGAAGCAGAAUCACUCCUCCAAAGACCUGCUAGGACAGCAAGGACAAGUGCACGAUGGUGCACCGAAGCAUCACGGUGAACAUGGUAAUGUCAGGUUGUUGAUGGAGCGAUACAAAUUGGUUUGAAGGCCGGGUACCACGCCGCCGCCAAUAUCGCGCGCAAACAUUGUUGAGUACUGAUGGUGUCAAAGUUUGACCGUAGCUAGCUUGAUUUGGAGACAUUUCCUGUUAGGACUUAAACUUUGGCUUGGAGGCAUUGAGCUUUCGCUCUAACUAGCUUUGUUACUUGGUAUACCUCCGUCAGCGUUCAGGAGCCGGGUAGUUGUGGAGCGGGUCGUGCGAGAGACGGUCGGCGAGCACAGGCUGGAGGGGAAGGUGAUGCGUGCGACAGCGACCAUGCCGGCAGGCAGGGCAGGGUUGACCGUGGCCAUCAUGAUGUUUCCAAGGGAGAGCGAGGCAUCCGCCAUCGCGUAGCUAAAGAAGUCGAUGCCCCGGGAGAGGUUGGCCACCGUUGCCGGUGUGAAAGGUGAUAGACCUAAAGGCCGGUGACAGGUUCGCCGCCGUCGCACCUUCUUUGAACUUGGUGGGGACGUGGAAGGAGAGCGGUGGCGUCGUGAAUAGCUCGACGCCUGCUGUCGCGACCACGACCGUGGUCAUGACCAUUGUGUUGUUAUGAGUUCUUGGGUGGCGAGCGAUUUGGAUGGUUAAGGAGAUAGGAAGAUUGCGGAGAAAAGUGGAAGAGAAUCUAUAUUCUUCGUCGCAUGAUGAAAACCGGAUGGCCAGAUGAGUUCACUUGUGUGUUUUACAGUCUUCAGAAUUGGAGGGUGAGAUGCUACAGCAGUACAGCUGCAAGUUCCCUUGCUUAUCCGUGAGGCUAUAUUUCAGAGGUUUGACUGUGACCGAAUUUAUUCACAAAGAAGCUAGGCGGUACUUGUCAGUAUGCUUGACUAACAAAUAGCAUUAUGAUCUGGUUUUGUUCUCUAUACCUUAUUAGUUCAUGGAUGUAACGGCUCCAUAUAGGUCGUCAAGAAAUUUUGAAUGUAAUUAAUAUAUGUCCCAGUUGACCAAAUUUGAAGGUAAUUACCUAGCACUCCGUUUGGAUGUAGACAUUCGAGGCCUUGGAUUUGAAUUGGCUGCAAUAUCAAAUCACUGAGACAUUGA